CCACGGCCCAGCAGCGGGGCUUUCUGGCCCGGCCUGGGCCACCCCGCCGCCCAGCGAGCGGCGGCCGCCUCGCCUUGCACGCGCCACCCGGGCCCAGCUCCGGGAGAAGGGCUCAGCGGGGCCGGGGAGGGCGAGGAGGGAGGAUGGGGAUGCGCUCUGGGCGGGGAGCUUGGUCGAGGGAGGGAGUGACCGGCCAGGUGGGCGCCCUGGGGAGCAGGCCAGCCUUGUGCCGGCACCCUGAGCCCAUUGAGGCUGGAAGACCUCCAGGCCGGCAGCGCUCUAAACACUUUAGCUCCUGUGUGCAUGAGGAGCCCAACGGAGUAAUGGGUGCUGGAAUUAGUACUGGAAUUAAUAUUAAUCAAUGGCAAGGAAGACCAGAACAGAGGAUGGUCCUUUGAUGGAUGGUCCUGUGAAGUAUCUUUCCUUCAAGAAAUGACUCUUUCCAUUCCUUUCAUAUAUUUGCCUUGUCUGGAAGACUGAUUAUGAGCUUCUUAGGACAGCCUUCACUUUAGAUUUGAGGCCCAGAGAAGUUUAGCAAUUUGUUCAAGCCCACACAGCUGUUUAGUGGCAGAGCUGGGCCUAAACUCUUGGACCAUUUCCAAAUCCAGUGUUCACUCUACUGUACCACACUGUGAAACUCUUAUGUUGAUCACUGUGAGUGCUUAAUAAAUAUCAGGUUUCUAACAGCA